UGCUGGCGGGGGGCCUAAUACAUGCAAGUCGAGCGGCAGCGCGUCUAGUUUACUAGAUGGCGGCGAGCGGCGGACGGCUGAGUAACGCGUGGGAACAUGCCCCAAAGUGAGGGAUAACGCACCGAAAGGUGUGCUAAUACCGCAUAUGGUCUUCGGAUUAAAGGAUUUAUCCGCUUUGGGAGUGGCCCGCGUACGAUUAGAUUGUUGGUGAGGUAACGGCUCACCAAGUCGACGAUCGUUAACUGGUCUGAGAGGAUGAUCAGUCAGACUGGAACUGAGACACGGUCCAGACUCCUACGGGAGGCAGCAGUAAGGAAUCUUCCACAAUGGGCGAAAGCCUGAUGGAGCAACGCCGCGUGCAGGAUGAAGGCCCUCGGGUCGUAAACUGCUUUUAUGAGUGAAGAAUAUGACGGUAACUCAUGAAUAAGCACCGGCUAACUACGUGCCAGCAGCCGCGGUCAUACGUAGGGUGCAAGCAUUAUCCGGAGUGACUGGGCGUAAAGAGUUGCGUAGGCGGUUAGUAAAGCGAAUAGUGAAACCUGGUGGCUCAACCAUACAGACUAUUAUUCGAACUCACUAACUCGAGAGUGGUAGAGGUAACUGGAAUUUCUUGUGUAGGAGUGAAAUCCGUAGAUAUAAGAAGGAACACCAAUGGCGUAGGCAGGUUACUGGACCAUUUCUGACGCUAAGGCACGAAAGC
rnacentral:rRNA from 1 species